rnacentral:rRNA from 1 species
GUCACCGUGACGUGGGCAGUUUGCUGCUGGUGACGUUGUAAGAAAUCCACUGAACCUUAUCAUUUAAAGGAAGGAGAAGUCGUAACAAGGUUUAUAGUAGGUGAACUUGUGGAAGGAUCAUUGUCAAU